GGUGGCUCAGUGGUAGAGCUCUUGCCUUACAUGCACGAGGCACUGGGUUCGAUUCCUUAGCACCA
rnacentral:tRNA from 1 species